AUUGAACGCUGGCGGCAGGCCUAACACAUGCAAGUCGAGCGGAUGAAGGGAGCUUGCUCCUGGAUUCAGCGGCGGACGGGUGAGUAAUGCCUAGGAAUCUGCCUGGUAGUGGGGGAUAACGUCCGGAAACGGGCGCUAAUACCGCAUACGUCCUGAGGGAGAAAGUGGGGGAUCUUCGGACCUCACGCUAUCAGAUGAGCCUAGGUCGGAUUAGCUAGUUGGUGGGGUAAAGGCCUACCAAGGCGACGAUCCGUAACUGGUCUGAGAGGAUGAUCAGUCACACUGGAACUGAGACACGGUCCAGACUCCUACGGGAGGCAGCAGUGGGAAAUAUUGGACAAUGGGCGAAAGCCUGAUCCAGCCAUGCCGCGUGUGUGAAGAAGGUCUUCGGAUUGUAAAGCACUUUAAGUUGGGAGGAAGGGCAGUAAGUUAAUACCUUGCUGUUUUGACGUACCAACAGAAUAAGCACCGGCUAACUUCGUG
rnacentral:rRNA from 1 species